rnacentral:rRNA from 1 species
GGGUCAGUAGGUUGGUCGUGCCACCGGUACGUACUGGUCUCACUGAUUCCUCCUUCCUGAAGAGCCGUAAUGCCAUUAAUUUGGUGUUGCGGGGAAACAGGACUGUUACUUUGAAAAAAUUAGAGUGUUUAAAGCAAGCUAACGCUUGAAUACAUUAGCAUGGAAUAAUGAAAUAGGACGACCGAUCCUAUUUUGUUGGUUUCUAGGAUUGACGUA